rnacentral:lncRNA from 10 species
AUAUCCUAUUCUAUUUCUUGUCUUAAUAUAUUGGUAAAGACAUCUACAAUUUUGUUGAACAGUAGCAUUAAAACAGGGCUUUUUAAAAAUUAUUUUUCUUUACGUUCUGGGAUACAUAUGCAGGAAGUGCAGGUUUGUUACAUAGGCAUACAUGUGCCAUGGUGGUUUGCUUCACCUUUAAACCCAUCAUCUAGGUUGUAAGCCUGGCAUGCCUUAUGUAUUUGUCUUAAUGCUCUCCCUCCUGUUGCCCUUCACCUCCCUACAGGGCCGGUGUGUGAUGUUUCCCUCCCUGUGUUCAUGUGUUCUCAUUGUUGAACUCCCACUUAUGACUGAGACCAUGUGGUGUCUGAUUUUCUGUUCCUUUGUUAGUUUGCUGAGAAUGAUGGCUUCCAGCUUCAUCCAUGUUCCUGCAAAGGACAUGAACUCAUCCAUUUUUAUGGCUGCAUAGUAUUCCAUGGUGUAUGUGUGCCAUAUUUUCUUUAUCCAGUCUAUCAUUGAUGGGUAUUUGGGUUGGUUCCAAGUCUUUGCUAUUGUAAAUAGUGUUGCAAUAAACAUAACUGUGCAUGUGUCUUUAUAGUAGAAUGAUUUAUAAUCCUUUGGGUUUAUACCCAGUAAUGGGAUUGCUGGGUCAAAUGGUAUUUCUGGUUCUAGAACCUUGAGGAAUUGCCACACCGUCUUUCACAAUGGUUGAAUUAGUUUACACUCCCACCAACAAUGUAAAAACAUUCCUAUUUCUCCACAGUCUCACCAGCAUCUGUGUUUCCUGAUUUUUUAAUGGUUGCCAUUCUAACUAGCGUGAGAUGGCAUCUCAUUGAGGUUUUGAUUUGCAUUUCUCUAAUGGCCAGUGAUGAUGAACUUUUUUUCAUAUGUUUGUGAUAUAUAGACCAAUGGAACAGAACAGAGACCUCAGAAAUAACACCACACAUCUCUAACGAUCUGAUCUUCGACAAACCUGAUAAAAACAAGCAAUGGAAAAAGCAUUCCCUGUUUAAUAAAUGGUUCUGGGAAAACUGUGCUUCCAAAUUUCCAGCUGUUCUGCUAGUCUAUGGCUAUCUUCUGAGAUGUCAAGUCUGUGAGUCUUUAGAAUUCUGCUCUCCAAACUCUGUAAGCUUGGGAAAUGCAUGUAGUUAAAAAAAGUAUAAAAGUCACAGGUUUU